rnacentral:rRNA from 1 species
AUUGAACGCUGGCGGCAUGCUUUACACAUGCAAGUCGAACGGUAACAGGGUGCUUGCACCGCUGACGAGUGGCGAACGGGUGAGUAAUGCGUCGGAACGUGCCGAGUAGUGGGGGAUAACGCAGCGAAAGUUGUGCUAAUACCGCAUACGUACUGAGGUAGAAAGUGGGGGACCUUCGGGCCUCACGCUAUUCGAGCGGCCGACGUCUGAUUAGCUAGUAGGGUAGGUAAAGGCUCACCUAGGCGACGAUCAGUAGCGGGUCUGAGAGGAUGAUCCGCCACACGGGGACUGAGACACGGCCCAGACUCCUACGGGAGGCAGCAGUGGGGAAUUUUGGACAAUGGGCGAAAGCCUGAUCCAGCCAUGCCGCGUGUCUGAAGAAGGCCUUCGGGUUGUAAAGGACUUUUGUCGGGGAGGAAAUCCCCAGCGUUAAUACCGCUGGGGGAUGACAGUACCUGAAGAAUAAGCACCGGCUAACUACGUGCCAGCCGCCGCAGUAAUAC